rnacentral:misc_RNA from 1 species
UUUCCGUAGGUGAACCUGCGGAAGGAUCAUUCAUAAUAAGUGUUUUAUGGCACUUUUUUAAAUCCAUAUCCACCUUGUGUGCAAUGUCAGGGUUGAUUUUUCUCUCGAGAGGAUCAGCCCCAGACAUCAACUAUAUCUCAACUCUUUGUCUGAAAAAUAUUAUGAAUAAAACAAUUCAAAAUACAACUUUCAACAACGGAUCUCUUGGCUCU